rnacentral:misc_RNA from 1 species
AACAAUCAUUGGCUUGUCACCAGGCCCAGGUAUAACCUUAAAAGGCCAUAAUUUCAUAUCGCUCUGCACCGAAGGAUCGCUAAAUCUCCUUCCGAUUAAGCGCUUAGCAUCGAAUACAGUAUUAACUGGGUUCAUAGCAACUUGAUUCUUCGCAGCAUCACCAAUGAGGCGUUCAGUAUCAGUAAAAGCAACAUGAUCGUGUUGAAAUUAUAGCUAAUGAUCAAGGAAACAGAACCACACGG